AUAUACUUUCAGUGCCGGAUAGCAGGGCGCGGUCUUCCCGAACGGGGCUUUACACCCCGAAUCCUUCCCGAUCGUGUGCCCGAACAAACAAAACACUUUUAAAACAAAAUCAUUCAAUAAUUCCCACUGAUGAACAAAAUGCUGAAGCAAGAAUUGCAGUGAGCUCAUGUUUACUUCAUCAUCUUUUGGUGGUUUGCAUCAUGACAAAUAGACAGCCUGCUCCAUCCUUAAUUCCACAUCGAUCUUAUCUUAUUCAUUUGUAAUCUGCAGCAUCUACAGGUCAAUUCAAAUGGUAACAUACGUUUAAAUCUCUUUGAAUUCAUCGACCAUUGUUUCUAUAAAUCAUUACAUACACUACACCUGCUGCAAAUCUAUUGUAACAUCCAAAACCAUGCUACAAAAAUUAUUCGGUUCCCGCAAUCACAAUGUAAACACUAACCCAACCUUCACAGAAUCCGUUGUUGAAAAGCCGUUGAUCGUUAAGAUAAUUCACGCUGGAGGUUUCGUCGAACGCUACUAUAUGGCAUUGCCUGCAGCUUUGAUCAUAGAAAAGUAUCCUAAAUUCGUGCUGGCUCGACCGGAUAUAUUCCAGCGGCCGUGGGACUCCAUUGUCCGACCGGAUGAGAUGCUGGUCCCGGGGCAAAAGUACUUUGUGGUCCCAACUCUAACGGUGAAAAAACUCCGUCAGAGAAUGGUGAAACCAAGAGCCGUUAGAUCGGUUUCUCUAAACAAGGAUAAGCCAGAACAGGCGAAACAGACGAAACAGGCUAACCGUCGUGUUCGUUUCAAAGGUAUUGAAACGAAGACGAGGCGUGAUGCUGGUGGCGAUGAAGAGAAGGUGAAGAAGAGCAAGAAGAAGGGGGCUAGUGGCAGAGGAUUAAGGAGGAAGAAUGUGAGUUUUUCGCCGAUGCUUACUGUAAUCGAUGGAAGGGGUUAAGUUUUGUUGAUUGAGUAAUAAGUUUCCGACUUUUCAUUCGACGUUUUCGCUUUUAUUUUUGUUUAGAUCGAGUCGAUUCGGUCUAAGAACUGAUCAUUAGGCCAUGAACUUGAAUAAUAUGUAAGAUUCAUGUUUCCAUUUACUAUGUUUAGCAUUACAUUAGUAUAUUGUUGAUUGUUUCAUAAUAACUAGAUAAGAAAAAAGGGAUUAUAAAUUGAAAAUUGGUGGUUGAUAUUUGGUAUGCAAGAAUUGAGGGGGGGUCUUUGUGGUGUGUAAAAGAGGGAUUAUAGCAACCAUAGAAUCUCAACAAAAAGAGAAAAAAAAUGUGGGAAUUGUUUGAUUCUUGAAUCUUGAUCAUUAUAUCAUCUGGGAUUUUAUCCAUUAACAAGAAAAGGUGGAACUUGGAAGAAACACCCAAGCUUCUACCAUUACCACCAAAGGUGUUUGUGUGUCUGUGUUCCAACUUCCAAUCCAAUCCGGUUAGAAAACGAAAACAUGCCGGACGACAAGAUCACGAAUGCAAACUUAAAGAUUGAUCUACAUCAACCAUGUUUAGAAGAUGACAUGAACAACACAAAAACACCAUCUUCACCAACCAAGAAAUCAUCAGCCACCAAGAUGAACUGCCUAUGUGCACCAACCAACCACCCGGGUUCCUUUAGGUGUCGCCACCACCGUAACAACCUUUCCGGAUUGGGAAACAGGAGGACCGUCUCCGUUGGUGCAAACCUUCAUCUGUUGGGUAACACCACUACCACAACCGCCACCAAACGGUCUAAGGAAUACUAACUCAUUAUGUACUACUUGUAUCGAAAAUUCGACAAUUGACAUACAUGUAAUUCAUUCACAAACAUGUUGAUAAAACUGAUCCUUUUUUUU